rnacentral:rRNA from 1 species
GAAACUGCGAAUGGCUCAUUAAAUCAGUUAUGGUUUAUUUGAUGGUACCUUACUACUUGGAUAACCGUAGUAAUUCUAGAGCUAAUACAUGCAGGAAAGCCCGCCAGGGCUGUAUUUAUUAGAUAAGAAACCAAUCCAGCUUGCUGGUUGAGUGCUGAGUCACAAUAACUGCUCGAAUCGCAUGGCUUUUGCCGGCGAUGGUUCAUUCAAAUUUCUGCCCUAUCAGCUUUCGAUGGUAGGAUAGAGGCCUACCAUGGCGUUAACGGGUAACGGAGAAUUAGGGUUCGAUUCCGGAGAGGGAGCCUGAGAAAUGGCUACCACAUCCAAGGAAGGCAGCAGGCGCGUAAAUUGCCCGAAUCCUGACACAGGGAGGUAGUGACAAGAAAUAACAAUACAGGGCUCUUUCGAGUCUUGUAAUUGGAAUGAGUACAAUUUACAUCUCUUCACGAGGAUCAAUUGGAGGGCAAGUCUGGUGCCAGCAGCCGCGGUAAUUCCAGCUCCAAUAGCGUAUAUUAAAGUUGUUGCAGUUAAAACGCUCGUAGUCGGAUUUCGGGGCGGUUUUGCCGGUCUGCCGUUGGGUAUGCACUGGUGCGAGCGUCCUUCCUUCCGGAGACGGCGCCUGCUCUUAACUGAGUGGGUGUCGGAGACGGAUCGUUUACUUUGAAAAAAUCAGAGUGUUUCAAGCAGGCAGCUCGCUUUUGCAUGGAUUAGCAUGGGAUAAUGAAAUAGGACUUUGGUGCUAUUUUGUUGGUUUCGAACACCGAAGUAAUGAUUAACAGGGACAGUCAGGGGCACUCGUAUUCCGCCGAGAGAGGUGAAAUUCUCAGACCAGCGGAAGACGCACCACUGCGAAAGCAUUUGCCAGGGAUGUUUUCACUGAUCAAAACGAAAGUUAGGGGAUCGAAGACGAUCAGAUACCGUCGUA